AUUGAACGCUGGCGGCAGGCUUAACACAUGCAAGUCGAACGGUAGCAGGAGAAAGCUUGCUUUCUUGCUGACGAGUGGCGGACGGGUGAGUAAUGCUUGGGAAUCUGGCUUAUGGAGGGGGAUAACUACGGGAAACUGUAGCUAAUACCGCGUAAUAUCUUCGGAUUAAAGAAUGGGACUUUUAGCCAUUCGCCAUAAGAUGAGCCCAAGUGGGAUUAGGUAGUUGGUGGGGUAAAGGCCUACCAAGCCGACGAUCUCUAGCUGGUCUGAGAGGAUGACCAGCCACACUGGAACUGAGACACGGCCCAGACUCCUACGGGAGGCAGCAGUGGGGAAUAUUGCGCAAUGGGGGCAACCCUGACGCAGCCAUGCCGCGUGAAUGAAGAAGGCCUUCGGGUUGUAAAGUUCUUUCGGUGGUGAGGAAGGCUAAUAUGUUAAUAGCAUAUUAGAUUGACGUUAGCCACAGAAGAAGCACCGGCUAACUCCGUG
rnacentral:rRNA from 1 species